rnacentral:lncRNA from 1 species
GGGGGCUGAUGAUAUUCACGCUCUCGUAGACACCCAACUUCUCCCUGUAGAUGGGCCCAAAGCGCUGGAACUUGCUGGCCAUGAUGUUGUGCACGUUGUGGAAGCCUCCCUCCUUCCAGAAGUGGUACAGGUUGAGCCAACCCGCUCUCCAUUCACCCGGCACCUGGUCGAAAGGCCGAGCUCCCGAGGAGCUGGGCAAUGGGUAGUGGACCCCCGCGAGGGCUGGGAUCCCUCCGGCACAGCGGCAUGCCUGAAAGCUGCCCGCUAUGGGUGCAGCCCUGGAGAGCAUGGGAGCGGGGCGAGCGCACGGCCGGG